rnacentral:snRNA from 1 species
GUGUUCGCUUAAGCAGCACACAUACUGAAAUUGGAAAUAUUCAGAGAAGAUUAAUAUGGCCCUGCACAAGGAUGACAUGCAAAUUCCUGAAGGAUUUCAUAUUUUA